ACAGCUCUUAAAUGAGGAUGGAUUUCACCAUAGAUCUGAGGCCCCAUCUGUGUUCUUAAACACUAUGCUCAAUAAAUUCUGGCUGAUACAAGAGAUUGUUGCAGCACCAUAAAUUAAGGAAAUAAAGGAGGCCACCUACGCUAAGGGCUGAUGAGAUAUUGAAAAACAACAGCUUCGACAUCUUAUGAAAGACAGCAUGGCUACAACGAUUACAGGAGAAAUAAUUUUCUUCCUCAAAUUGAAUAAGCACAACAUAUGGUGAGGCCUAAAGUGCCAGGGGGGUGAGGAAGUGAAAUGCAGUGGUUCUCAAGACACACGUGCAGGGAAGAAACAUGAUUAUAGCAGAUCAGUAUGGGAGAAGCCAUCCGUUCAUGGGAAAACCAUACCUCCCUACAGAUUUUAAAUCCACUCCUCCUGAACAGACUUCUUGCAGAGGUAUUGGAAACGUUGAAGGAGAUUUU